GCGGCGGUGGCGCAACGGCGACGCAGCAGGUUUAGGUCCUGUGGCCCUUAACGGGCUUGAGGGUUCGAAUCCCUUCCGCCGCA
rnacentral:tRNA from 1 species